rnacentral:ncRNA from 1 species
AUAGGGGUGCUGGGUUCUCCCGGCUGAGAUAGGACUAAUUGAGGUCCGGACCCUUGAACCUGAUGCGGGUAAUGCCGACGUAGGGAACUUCUUUA